AGCGAGCGCUGGCGGCAGGCUUAACACAUGCAAGUCGAGCGGGCACUUUCGGGUGUCAGCGGCGGACGGGUGAGUAACGCGUGGGAACGUGCCCUCUGGUUCGGAAUAACUCAGGGAAACUUGAGCUAAUACCGGAUACGCCCUUUUGGGGAAAGGCUUGCUGCCGGAGGAUCGGCCCGCGUCUGAUUAGCUAGUUGGUGAGGUAACGGCUCACCAAGGCGACGAUCAGUAGCUGGUCUGAGAGGAUGAUCAGCCACACUGGGACUGAGACACGGCCCAGACUCCUACGGGAGGCAGCAGUGGGGAAUAUUGGACAAUGGGCGCAAGCCUGAUCCAGCCAUGCCGCGUGAGUGAUCAAGGCCUUAGGGUUGUAAAGCUCUUUUAUCCGGGACGAUAAUGACGGUACCGGAGGAAUAAGCCCCGGCUAACUUCGUG
rnacentral:rRNA from 1 species